AUUGAAUCAGCUAGGGUUUAUUAACCCUAGCUACCCCGCCAUGAAUUCCGGCCCCCUUUACCCGUCAGUCGGUGCCAUUUUUGGCAAAAACGCAGAAGAUAUAGACUUUUUGCAGUCAUGUACCACCCAUUUUGGGUUAGCAUUAAAUGCUUCGACAGCUUCAACCCCACUUCCACCCAAUCUCAGCCCCAAACGAGGAAGCCCUAGGAGCUUUCAAAUCCAUUCUUGAUAGUCGGCUGCACUAAAAAAAAGGUAAUCUUUUAUCUUGUUAUUGCUUUUUUUUUAAUUUAUUUUAUGCUUAGCCUAAAUGUUAUUUUGUUUAGCUUAGAUGUUUGGCAGUGUUAGUGAUGUUGUUGAUAGAUAUAUUUGGUGUUGCUUAAUUAUUGGUAUCUCUAUGACUUAGUCUGUAUAUGUUCUUGCCAUGACCAACCUGUUUAUGCUUAAGCCAGUCUCUACCUUUUAAAUAUUUGAAUGAGAUGAUUUAAGGAUUUAAGCAGUGUCAAGAUGAAUCUAUAAUUUGAAAUAUAUAAUGAAUUCCAAGGUCCAAGCCUCAUUGUAGUUGUUAAAAAUGGAUUUGAGUAGCCUGUCAACUACUAAAAUGGGAUUGAAAGGAUCUUAAUGAUGUCUUUUGUUCUCAGCCUAAAUGCAAAUGCCUUAGACUUGCUAUAUGAUGUUAAAACUAAUCUGGUUGAUGGCUCUGAUUUGAAGCUAAGUAGAUUUUAAGAAUCGAAAAUGUCUUGGUUAUGUGGAUGAAGUCUGUUCACUUGAAUAUAUAUGGUCCUGUCUUAGGUAAUCCUCUUGAUCUCUGAAAUUAAAGGUUUUUGAGGUUUAUUCUGAUCGUGAAAGACCCCAUCUAGCUAUAUUAAGAUAAAACAGGGAUUAACCAGCGCUUUUUUCAGUAGUUUAAAACUGGAAGUACUCAUAUAGCUUUAACUGUUUUCAUGAAAAUUAGUCCUCUAGUUUUGAAAGAGAAAAGAGGUAAAAGAAGGGAAAAGGAGGGAAGCUUGACAUGAACUUGUCCAGACUCUUUCACAUGUAAAAAUUUUAUAUCAUAUCAUAAGGCCAUGUUCAAAAUGUUGAAAAUGCAAUGACAUAAUUAAAUAUGAGAGUGAUAAUGAAGUUUGGAUUUCCUUUGGGAUUGAAAUAUGUUGUUUCUGGUUCUGUCCUAUUCUGUUAUGUAUAAAUUAGUCCUAAAAUGAGAUGUAUAUGUCUGUUGGGAUUCUAUUAUGUUCAAAGGUCAAGAGCUACUUCAUGGUCAGGACUUUAGGUUAGGUUAAUUAAAAUGGCAACGUGUCACCACUUUAUAACUAUUUGGCUUGGUUUAAUGAUGAAGUGAUAAGGCCACAAAUGUGUAUGGAUGAACUAUAAGUCACUAGGCAUAAGGAAGCCUUUUAAAGGCACCUUAAGAAGCGGAUUGAGAAAGGCUAAGCUCAACUUAGCUCAUAGUAUCUUUCCUCCCAUAUAAAAGGUGCCAUGGCAUGCCUUAAAGGGUCUAUGGGAUACGUGUUUGCCACAUACACAACCUUGGCCUUUCACUUCUGCCAUUAGACCAAAGGGAGGGCUUCAUAUAAAAUGAAUUCAUUAUAGUGUAAAACUGGUUAUUCUAAUAUGACAAUGGACCUGUUAAUAAGGCUUUAAAACUGGUUCCUAUACUACUUAGGCUAUUAGGAGUGUAAAGAAAAAAAUGGGAUGGGAUAGAUUUUGGUGUACUUGUCUUCAAUCCAGAGAUUGAAAAAUUAAGUUAUGGGGUUGCUAAUUCUUUUAGGUUGUGUGUCUUUCUCUUCCUUUUUUUUUUAUGGAAUCUGGUAAGCUAAAAAAGUCUGUAAAUCUUCUAAAUGGCUGUGUUUAAGCAAAAGUAUCAUGCGAAGUACAUAUUUCUUCUUAUGUUCCAUUUGUGUGAUUAGCUUAAGAGAUUUGCACAUCUUUAUUUGGGAAUCACUAAAUGUGUUCAAGCUCGUUUAUAUAUAUUCUUUCUAAUUAAAGUGUAUAGUCUAGACUAAUAAACACCUGAAUAUAUCAAUUUGGAUUGCCUUUCACUCAUCUUUGAAACAUCUUUGAAAUUCGAUUAAGGCUUUGUGUUUGCCACCUGUGGUUGGUAUAUGCUCAUGCUUAUCCUGUUGAAUUUUGAGUCUUGGUUUGUCAGCCUUAGUUUUAGGAUUAAUCAUUGCCUUAAACUUGAAAGAUAAUUAGGUGGUUAAUAGAGUCGGAGAUUUAAGGGAAGCCUGGAAAGACUUGGAGUUGCUUGCAACCCAGUUCAGUAUGGCCAACUUAAAUCAGAGACUGAUAAUUAAAAUUGAAUCAUAGGCUUAAGGUGAUACUUGGAGGGAUUAAGAGUUGCUUGCAACCAGGUACGAUACGAUAUCACCAAUAGACAAGAAUGGUAAAUUAAAAGGUCAUCCUUGGAAAGGUUGGAGUUAAAUGCAACCCAACUCAGUACUGGUCAACUAAAAAUAAAAUACCAGGAUCAAUAACUAAAGCAAGAAUAAGGUUUAGUUUCAAGAUUAAGUAUAGAUAUACAUAGGGAUGUAUAUAUGAUUGAUAAAAAAGAAGAACUAUACAUUGUAUACACUUGAUAUACAUAUCAGAUGUGUAUAUCAUUGGCAUAUCAUGUGUAUACAUUAAUAGGUUGAUCACAUAUAGAGUGUAAAUCAACCAUUUUGAGGAAUAGAGGCCCCAUAGGCUUGAACACUUUGUCAAAAUUUAGAAUUAUUAGAGCUUGGGCCAGGCCCAUUUCAUAAUCUGGUAUAGAAGUUCCAUAUUCCACACUUAGGAUAAAAAUGAGGGGACACUGAUGGGCUUUGGGUAUAUUAGCAAUGCAACUGGGCUUCCAGGCCCAGUUUUUCUGAAACUGAAGGUGUAUAUAUAUGUUUUACGCUAUCUACAUAUAUGUUGUAGUGAUAAGUUCAAUAAAUCAACUCUAGCAGGUGUGUUCUUUCUCCUCCUCCCUCUUCCACUGCAUGGCCACUUGGUCCAAGUUAGACCUCCGUUGUUGGGCUAUGGCCCAACAGGUCAUUCUUUCAGCCAGAUUAACGUGAAAAGGAAGCUAAUAUUGUACGGGAACGCGUUGAAAGCCCAGCCAUGGGUAAAAAUAGCUAACUAGGGGUUUGGUACACCCUAUCCUAUCCCUUUUCUUUUUAUUAUUAUGUCCUCUUAUUUUUCAAAUUGUUGUAUUGUAUUCAUGUACUUGUAAAAAACUCGUAGUAUAGUGGAAUCCUUUAUGAUUGAACUAGACAUCUUAGGCA